UGUCAUAGGCGUCUAUGAUGUGUUCAAGGGCUGGAGAACAACGUAGUGGAUCGGGCGAAGUGCGGCGGAAGAGUCAGAGGUGUAAAAUAGCCAGGCCCAGAGCCUGAAUCAGUGUGUGUGUUAGUGGAAGCGUCUGGAAAGGCGCGCGAUACAGGGUGACAGCCCCGUACACAAAAAUACACAUAUUGUGAGCUCGAUGAGUAGGGCGGGACACGUGGUAUCCUGUCUGAAUAUGGGGGGACCAUCCUCCAAGGCUAAAUACUCCUGACUGACCGAUAGUGAACCAGUACCGUGAGGGAAAGGCGAAAAGAACCCCGGCGAGGGGAGUGAAAAAGAACCUGAAACCGUGUACGUACAAGCAGUGGGAGCACGCUUAGGCGUGUGACUGCGUACCUUUUGUAUAAUGGGUCAGCGACUUAUAUUCUGUAGCAAGGUUAACCGAAUAGGGGAGCCGAAGGGAAACCGAGUCUUAACUGGGCGUUAAGUUGCAGGGUAUAGACCCGAAACCCGGUGAUCUAGCCAUGGGCAGGUUGAAGGUUGGGUAACACUAACUGGAGGACCGAACCGACUAAUGUUGAAAAAUUAGCGGAUGACUUGUGGCUGGGGGUGAAAGGCCAAUCAAACCGGGAGAUAGCUGGUUCUCCCCGAAAGCUAUUUAGGUAGCGCCUCGUGAAUUCAUCUCCGGGGGUAGAGCACUGUUUCGGCAAGGGGGUCAUCCCGACUUACCAACCCGAUGCAAACUGCGAAUACCGGAGAAUGUUAUCACGGGAGACACACGGCGGGUGCUAACGUCCGUCGUGAAGAGGGAAACAACCCAGACCGCCAGCUAAGGUCCCAAAGUCAUGGUUAAGUGGGAAACGAUGUGGGAAGGCCCAGACAGCCAGGAUGUUGGCUUAGAAGCAGCCAUCAUUUAAAGAAAGCGUAAUAGCUCACUGGUCGAGUCGGCCUGCGCGGAAGAUGUAACGGGGCUAAACCAUGCACCGAAGCUGCGGCAGCGACGCUUAUGCGUUGUUGGGUAGGGGAGCGUUCUGUAAGCCUGCGAAGGUGUGCUGUGAGGCAUGCUGGAGGUAUCAGAAGUGCGAAUGCUGACAUAAGUAACGAUAAAGCGGGUGAAAAGCCCGCUCGCCGGAAGACCAAGGGUUCCUGUCCAACGUUAAUCGGGGCAGGGUGAGUCGACCCCUAAGGCGAGGCCGAAAGGCGUAGUCGAUGGGAAACAGGUUAAUAUUCCUGUACUUGGUGUUACUGCGAAGGGGGGACGGAGAAGGCUAUGUUGGCCGGGCGACGGUUGUCCCGGUUUAAGCGUGUAGGCUGGUUUUCCAGGCAAAUCCGGAAAAUCAAGGCUGAGGCGUGAUGACGAGGCACUACGGUGCUGAAGCAACAAAUGCCCUGCUUCCAGGAAAAGCCUCUAAGCAUCAGGUAACAUCAAAUCGUACCCCAAACCGACACAGGUGGUCAGGUAGAGAAUACCAAGGCGCUUGAGAGAACUCGGGUGAAGGAACUAGGCAAAAUGGUGCCGUAACUUCGGGAGAAGGCACGCUGAUAUGUAGGUGAAGUCCCUUGCGGAUGGAGCUGAAAUCAGUCGAAGAUACCAGCUGGCUGCAACUGUUUAUUAAAAACACAGCACUGUGCAAACACGAAAGUGGACGUAUACGGUGUGACGCCUGCCCGGUGCCGGAAGGUUAAUUGAUGGGGUCAGCGCAAGCGAAGCUCUUGAUCGAAGCCCCGGUAAACGGCGGCCGUAACUAUAACGGUCCUAAGGUAGCGAAAUUCCUUGUCGGGUAAGUUCCGACCUGCACGAAUGGCGUAAUGAUGGCCAGGCUGUCUCCACCCGAGACUCAGUGAAAUUGAACUCGCUGUGAAGAUGCAGUGUACCCGCGGCAAGACGGAAAGACCCCGUGAACCUUUACUAUAGCUUGACACUGAACAUUGAGCCUUGAUGUGUAGGAUAGGUGGGAGGCUUUGAAGUGUGGACGCCAGUCUGCAUGGAGCCGGCCUUGAAAUACCACCCUUUAAUGUUUGAUGUUCUAACGUGGACCCGUGAUCCGGGUUGCGGACAGUGUCUGGUGGGUAGUUUGACUGGGGCGGUCUCCUCCUAAAGAGUAACGGAGGAGCACGAAGGUUGGCUAAUCCUGGUCGGACAUCAGGAGGUUAGUGCAAUGGCAUAAGCCAGCUUGACUGCGAGCGUGACGGCGCGAGCAGGUGCGAAAGCAGGUCAUAGUGAUCCGGUGGUUCUGAAUGGAAGGGCCAUCGCUCAACGGAUAAAAGGUACUCCGGGGAUAACAGGCUGAUACCGCCCAAGAGUUCAUAUCGACGGCGGUGUUUGGCACCUCGAUGUCGGCUCAUCACAUCCUGGGGCUGAAGUAGGUCCCAAGGGUAUGGCUGUUCGCCAUUUAAAGUGGUACGCGAGCUGGGUUUAGAACGUCGUGAGACAGUUCGGUCCCUAUCUGCCGUGGGCGCUGGAGAACUGAGGGGGGCUGCUCCUAGUACGAGAGGACCGGAGUGGACGCAUCACUGGUGUUCGGGUUGUCAUGCCAAUGGCACUGCCCGGUAGCUAAAUGCGGAAGAGAUAAGUGCUGAAAGCAUCUAAGCACGAAACUUGCCCCGAGAUGAGUUCU
rnacentral:rRNA from 1 species